GACAGAGGGGGCAAGCGUUGCUCGGAAUUACUGGGCGUAAAGGGCGCGUAGGCGGUUUGUUGCGUCGGCUGUGAAAUCCCGAGGCUCAACCUCGGGUCUGCAGUCGAUACGAGCAAACUAGAGUGUUGCAGGGGAGACUGGAAUUCCUGGUGUAGCGGUGAAAUGCGCAGAUAUCAGGAGGAACACCGGUGCGAAGGCGGGUCUCUGGGCAACAACUGACGCUGAGGAGCGAAAGCGUGGGGAGCAAACAGG
rnacentral:rRNA from 1 species